rnacentral:rRNA from 1 species
UGGGGAAUUUUGGACAAUGGGCGAAAGCCUGAUCCAGCAAUGACGCGUGUGUGAAGAAGGCCUUCGGGUUGUAAAGCACUUUUGUCCGGAAAGAAAUCCUUGGCUCUAAUACAGUCGGGGGAUGACGGUACCGGAAGAAUAAGCACCGGCUAACUACGUGCCAGCAGCCGCGGUAAUACGUAGGGUGCAAGCGUUAAUCGGAAUUACUGGGCGUAAAGCGUGCGCAGGCGGUUUGCUAAGACCGAUGUGAAAUCCCCGGGCUCAACCUGGGAACUGCAUUGGUGACUGGCAGGCUAGAGUAUGGCAGAGGGGGGUAGAAUCCCACGUGUAGCAGUGAAAUGCGUAGAGAUGUGGAGGAAUACCGAUGGCGAAGGCAGCCCCCUGGGCCAAUACUGACGCUCAUGCACGAAAGCGUGGGGAGCAAACAGGAUUAGAUACCCUGGUAGUCCACGCCCUAAAACGAUGUCAACUAGUUGUUGGGGAUUCAUUUCCUUAGUAACGUAGCUAACGCGUGAAGUUGACCGCCUGGGGAGUACGGUCGCAAGAUUAAAACUCAAAGGAAUUGACGGGGUCAUAGCUGUUUCCU